GAGUUUGAUCCUGGCUCAGGAUGAACGCUGGCGGCGUGCUUAACACAUGCAAGUCGAGCGGAGCACAUCGUUGGAAUCCUUCGGGAGGAAGAGGAUGUGGCUUAGCGGCGGACGGGUGAGUAACGCGUGGACAACCUGCCCUAUGCAGGGGGAUAACAUCCGGAAACGGGUGCUAAUACCGCAUAAGCGCACAGUACCGCAUGGUACAGUGUGAAAAGCUGAGGCGGCAUAGGAUGGGUCCGCGUUGGAUUAGGCAGUUGGCGGGGUAACGGCCCACCAAACCGACGAUCCAUAGCCGGCCUGAGAGGGUGGACGGCCACAUUGGGACUGAGACACGGCCCAGACUCCUACGGGAGGCAGCAGUGGGGAAUAUUGCACAAUGGGGGGAACCCUGAUGCAGCGACGCCGCGUGGGUGAGGAAGUACUUCGGUAUGUAAAGCCCUAUCAGCAGGGAAGAAAAUGACGGUACCUGACUAAGAAGCCCCGGCUAACUACGUGCCAGCAGCC
rnacentral:rRNA from 1 species